GGCUAAGAUCAAGUGUAGUAUCUGU
rnacentral:piRNA from 6 species